rnacentral:rRNA from 1 species
UACGGAGGGGGCUAGCGUUGUUCGGAAUUACUGGGCGUAAAGCGCACGUAGGCGGCUUUGCAAGUUAGAGGUGAAAGCCCGGGGCUUAACCCCGGAAUUGCCUUUAAAACUGCAUCGCUAGAAUUGUGGAGAGGUAAGUGGAAUUCCGAGUGUAGAGGUGAAAUUCGUAGAUAUUCGGAAGAACACCAGUGGCGAAGGCGACUUACUGGACACAUAUUGACGCUGAGGUGCGAAAGCGUGGGGAGCAAACAGG